UACCGAGGUCCCGAGCGUUGUUCGGAUUCACUGGGCGUAAAGGGUGCGCAGGUGGGUUUGCAAGUUCGAUGUGAAAGCCCCGGGCUUAACCCGGGAAUGGCAUUGGAUACUGCAGAUCUGGAGGAUCGGAGGGGGGACUGGAAUUCUUGGUGUAGCAGUGAAAUGCGUAGAUAUCAAGAGGAACACCAGUGGCGAAGGCGAGUCCCUGGACGAUACCUGACACUGAGGCACGAAAGCCGGGGGAGCAAACAGG
rnacentral:rRNA from 1 species